GAGGGUAUAGCUUAAGUGGUAAAACACAUACUCAGCAUGCAAGAGGCCCUGGGUUCAAUCCCCGGUACCUUCA
rfam:Camelus ferus unplaced genomic scaffold scaffold740, whole genome shotgun sequence.